UACGGAGGGUGCAAGCGUUAAUCGGAAUUACUGGGCGUAAAGCGUGCGCAGGCGGUUUUGUAAGACAGAGGUGAAAUCCCCGGGCUCAACCUGGGAACUGCCUUUGUGACUGCAAGGCUGGAGUGCGGCAGAGGGGGAUGGAAUUCCGCGUGUAGCAGUGAAAUGCGUAGAUAUGCGGAGGAACACCGGUGGCGAAGGCGGCUCUCUGGACCGAUACUGACGCUGAGGCGCGAAAGCGUGGGGAGCAAACAGG
rnacentral:rRNA from 1 species